rnacentral:rRNA from 1 species
UACGUAGGGGUGCAAGCGUUGUCCGGAAUUAUUGGGCGUAAAGAGCUCGUAGGCGGCUUGUCGCGUCGGCUGUGAAAACCUGAGGCUCAACCUCGGGCUUGCAGCCGAUACGGGCAAGCUAGAAUUCGGUAGGGGAGACUGGAAUUCCUGGUGUAGCGGUGAAAUGCGCAGAUAUCAGGAGGAACACCGGUGGCGAAGGCGGGUCUCUGGGCCGAUAUUGACGCUGAGGAGCGAAAGCGUGGGGAGCAAACAGG